GAUCAUCCUCCUCAAUUUACAUUAGAUUUGGUUUUGGUAAGAAGCAUUCUUGCCUUGUGCUUUUUGUCAACACCAUCCAGUGGCUUGAAACAUCAGGCAGAAAAGCCACCAGUAACUAACCCUUGGAGGAAGCUGAUAUUUUGUCUGAGUAAAAACUGUGAAAUUUCAUUCUGCUAAAACCAGUGACAUUUUAAUUUCAAAGAACUCCGAUCUCUGGGGAUAUUUCCUAAUACUUCCCUAAGUAGAUGAGUAGUUGGGAGCUGAGAGCCUCUGCUUCACCCCCUUGGCCAUGUGAAGCUAAUCUAAGACUGGUGCCAUUCCUGACCACUAGCUGCAGAAAUGCUUUAAGGGUUGCAUGCACUGGUAGACUAAAAGCACAGGGAAGGAAAAUGGAUUAAAUAUCCAUUUCAUUCCAGGACAGUUAUAUGUGUCUAGUUACAGAAAAUGCCCUGGAGCCGCCAAGGGUUAGUUUUUAUUCCUCAUCUCCUUGGGGAGGAUAAACUAGAAAUUUU
rnacentral:lncRNA from 10 species